rnacentral:tRNA from 1 species
GGGGAAUUAGCUCAGCUGGGAGAGCACCUGCUUUGCAAGCAGGUGGUCAUCGGUUCGAACCCGAUAUUCUCCA